rnacentral:sRNA from 1 species
GCGGCCGGACUGGGAAGAUGGACGCAGCUACUCUGACCUACGACACUCUCCGGUUUGCUGAGUUUGAAGAUUUUCCUGAGACCUCAGAGCCCGUUUGGAUACUGGGUAGAAAAUACAGCAUUUUCACAGAAAAGGACGAGAUCUUGUCUGAUGUGGCAUCUAGACUUUGGUUUACAUACAGGAAAAACUUUCCAGCCAUUGGAGGUUGUCGGGACAUUUCACUCUCCAGUAAAUGUGGCCCUUGGCGUUACUGAGUCCUAAGAGGGGGGACAGGCCCCACCUCGGACACAGGCUGGGGCUGCAUGCUGCGGUGUGGACAGAUGAUCUUUGCCCAAGCCCUGGUGUGCCGGCACCUAGGCCGAGAUUGGAGGUGGACACAAAGGAAGAGGCAGCCAGACAGCUACUUCAGCGUCCUCAACGCAUUCAUCGACAGGAAGGACAGUUACUACUCCAUUCACCAGAUAGCGCAAAUGGGAGUUGGCGAAGGCAAGUCCAUAGGCCAGUGGUACGGGCCGAACACUGUCGCCCAGGUCCUCAAGAAGCUUGCUGUCUUCGACACGUGGAGCUCCUUGGCGGUCCACAUUGCAAUGGACAACACUGUUGUGAUGGAGGAAAUCAGAAGGUUGUGCAGGACCAGCGUUCCCUGUGCAGGCGCCACUGCGUUUCCUGCAGAUUCCGACCGGCACUGCAACGGAUUCCCUGCCGGAGCUGAGGUCACCAACAGGCUGUCGCCAUGGAGACCCCUGGUACUUCUCAUUCCCCUGCGCCUGGGGCUCACAGACAUCAACGAGGCCUACGUGGAGACGCUGAAGCACUGCUUCAUGAUGCCCCAGUCCCUGGGCGUCAUCGGAGGGAAGCCCAACAGCGCCCACUACUUCAUCGGCUACGUUGGUGAGGAGCUCAUCUACCUGGACCCCCACACCACGCAGCCAGCCGUGGAGCCCACUGACGGCUGCUUCAUCCCGGACGAGAGCUUCCACUGCCAGCACCCGCCGUGCCGCAUGAGCAUCGCGGAGCUUGACCCGUCCAUUGCUGUGGGGUUUUUCUGUAAGACUGAAGAUGACUUCAGUGAUUGGUGCCAGCAAGUCAAAAAGCUGUCUCUGCUCGGAGGUGCCCUGCCCAUGUUUGAGCUGGUGGAGCAGCAGCCUUCACAUCUGGCCUGCCCCGACGUCCUGAACCUGUCCCUAGGUGAGAGCUGCCAAGUCCAGGUGGGGUCCCUCGGAGGUACGAUCUGUGCCCUUGCUUCCCCAGUCCUGGCCCCCUUGGUUUUGACCAUUAAGGUGUGUGUGAGCCUGAGCCAUGAGCACUUGGCAGUGGUUCGCCUGUGAGACCAGGUGUGGAGCGGAGCGUCCCCUCCUCCAAGCUUGCGCCCAGCAGCCCAGGACCCACCUCGUCUUCCCCCCGAGGCGCUGCCUGCCCGGGCACUGUGGAGCUGGGCGUGCUCCCAUGGAGUCCUCAGGGCUCUGGAGCAGACAGAACAUGCAGGCUCUGUGGUGACGCAGUUCUGGGUGGGGGACUGGUUCACUUGGGCACCACUGGCCACGGGUGGCGUAGACCCCUUGGACCAUGGCCAGCGUGCCACAGGAGCCAGCCUGGGCUCGUGCAGUGAAGUGAGUGGCCGUGAGCGUGUCCUCCUCAUCCCUGUCUCCCUGUGGGAAACUCUACAAACAAGGCAAUGGCAAUGGAACCACUCCUGAUGACCACGAGGGUCAGACGCGGGACAGAGGCCCCUCAGGCCUGAGAUUGUGCCGGCCGCCCCCUGCCCUCCUCACCCUGCCCUGCUCCUCUUCUCUGCUCCCUCCCCCCAUAUUCGCAGGUCUGCACAACCCCAGGACCUGUUCACACCCGCAUGGGGACAGCUGUCUGUGGGCUGCAGAGCAGGCACUGCUCAGUCUGCCCCACACCAAGGGCACUUGACUCACACCCAGGUGGCCCACUCAAGAUGCCUGAUGCGCUAUGUCCUGUUCCUUCUAGAUUCUUCUGAUGUAGAGCGACUGGAAAGAUUCUUCGACUCAGAAGAUGAAGACUUUGAAAUCCUGUCCCUUUGAAAAUCCUGGGGUCGGGGGUGGCACCUGUGAGAGCCUGGGGCUCCUGGUGCCGCUGCGUUCCAUCCAUCCCGCCCGCUCGCCUGCCGAGGGCUGCGCCCCGUGCUGCCUCCCCCCAGAGGGCCACCCGCUGUGCUCGUGGACUGAGGCUGCGCUGCCCGGGAGGCCUUACUGCUUGGUGUCAGACUGCCCAGCUCAGAGUGCCCGUCAGGGCCUGUGCAUCCGCACGUGGAGCCGUCUGUUAGGAGCUUCCAGAGCAUUCUCUCGACACUGCCAGCCCCGUGUUAGCGCCUGGGCCUCAGUCCCACUUGCUCCCAGGCGCCGGUUCUGUGGUUGGUUUGGAAUUAAAGUCCUGUUUGAAGUUGUCAGA